GAAAAGUAUGUUCACUACUGAGCUUGUGUCUGUGUUUGCUGUGACAGGGCAGAGUGGAGUGCAGUUCUCUAGACAGUCCAGAUGGAUCCACCCAAGGAAAGACUGACUGCAGCAUCAACAGCCCCAUCCUUAGGGCUGGUGAUAAGGUUGUCUUUAUUGUUCAGUAUGGAAUUGAUGGCAACAGUCAAUUUGAUGACAUAGUCACCAUACAGGCCCAGGCUUCAAGUGACAACGAUAAACACGCUCCUGAUAGCGAAC